GAUGAACGCUGGCGGCGUGCCUAAUACAUGCAAGUCGAGCGAACGGACGAGAAGCUUGCUUCUCUGACGUUAGCGGCGGACGGGUGAGUAACACGUGGAUAACCUACCUAUAAGACUGGGAUAACUUCGGGAAACCGGAGCUAAUACCGGAUAAUAUAUUGAACCGCAUGGUUCAAUAGUGAAAGACGGUCUUGCUGUCACUUAUAGAUGGAUCCGCGCUGCAUUAGCUAGUUGGUAAGGUAACGGCUUACCAAGGCAACGAUGCAUAGCCGACCUGAGAGGGUGAUCGGCCACACUGGAACUGAGACACGGUCCAGACUCCUACGGGAGGCAGCAGUAGGGAAUCUUCCGCAAUGGGCGAAAGCCUGACGGAGCAACGCCGCGUGAGUGAUGAAGGUCUUCGGAUCGUAAAACUCUGUUAUUAGGGAAGAACAAAUGUGUAAGUAACUAUGCACGUCUUGACGGUACCUAAUCAGAAAGCCACGGCUAACUACGUG
rnacentral:rRNA from 1 species